CAUUAGGAACACUGACAGGGUAACUGGAGUGUCCUCUGAUCCGUGACCAUGCCAUUAUUCCCCAUCUUUUAGGGCUUCUGUAAUUUCGUCCAGCAGUGGUCUUGUGUGUGUCUUUUCCUAGACUUACUCUUGAGUGUCGUGUUUGGUGUUGCUAUUGUAGGCGGGGUAUUUUUGUUCUGUUUCCCAGCUCUCUGCUCCCGGGAUAGCAUACAGUUGAUUUUUGUAUGCCAGCCAUUAUCCAGUGGCCUUGCUGAGCUCCCUAUGGGGUCUCAGGAAGUUUCCACAAAGCUCCAAAAACCACUGUCCCAUCACCUGCAAAGGAACUCAUUGUCUACCUCUUUCCUUCCACUCGUAGGCCGGUCAUUUACGUUUCUUCGGGCACAGCUGGAACUUCCCAUAAUUUACAGAAGCACGUGAGGCCAGUAGCUCCCUCACGUUGGUCUCAGUCUCUGGGAAGGUGGUACUAUUUCACCUCUCGCUGUGGUGUUGGCUCUGGCUGGUUUUUUAAUUGGUAUUUUUUCACAGAUUCGGGGUUAGGGCCCACACGCCAAGGCAGCUCGACCAGGCGCCUGAGGAGGUGAGAGCCAUGGGCCUCAGGGACUCGCCCCUGAGGGUCCAGCGAUCGCAUUCAUUCCUUCGCAUCUCAGCAGGUCCUAGGCAAGCUCCUAGACGUGCUCUGCAGUGGAUGCAGGAAACGGCUCCUUCAGUAACAGGUGGCAUUUUAUUCUCCAUCUGCCUGCUUUUUGGCUUUCUUCUGUUACCAGUGUUUUUGCUUUAUUUUUGUUUUAUGUCAGAAAGAAGCCGUUCGGCAAACGCGUAACUUAGCGUCGGCGUCUUUCUUGAGUAACAGUCUUUACAUGUUCUAUCCUGUGAGAUUCCAGACCCUUGAAAUCAUUUAAUAAGUAGAAUGUUUUUCUUCCUGCAAAUAUAUCCCCUUAAAUGUUUAUUCUAGCAUAAAAGCUUUCCUAUGGCAUCAAAUAAACACCAUAGAAUAAUUUCA
rnacentral:lncRNA from 1 species